UCUACGGGAGGCAGCAGUGGGGAAUAUUGCGCAAUGGGCGAAAGCCUGACGCAGCGACGCCGCGUGAGGGAUGAAGGUCUUCGGAUCGUAAACCUCUGUCAGCAGGGAAGAACGGUCACUGUGCUAAUCAGCAGUGAAUUGACGGUACCUGCAAAGGAAGCACCGGCUAACUCCGUUCCAGCAGCCGCGGUAAUACGGAGGGUGCGAGCGUUAAUCGGAAUUACUGGGCGUAAAGCGCUCGUAGGCGGUAUGUCAAGUCAAGGGUGAAAUCCCCGCGCUCAACGUGGGAACUGCCUUUGAAACUGGCAAACUUGAGUGUGUGAGAGGAUAGUGGAAUUCCAGGUGUAGGAGUGAAAUCCGUAGAUAUCUGGAGGAACAUCAGUGGCGAAGGCGACUAUCUGGCACAUAACUGACGCUGAGGAGCGAAAGCGUGGGUAGCAAACAGGAUUAGAUACCCGAGUAGUC
rnacentral:rRNA from 1 species